CGAAGGGGACGAAAGUUGGCGGCAAGUGACGCGAUCGCCGCGAGUCUCCCCCGGAGAAUUUCGCAUGGCGAGGUUUGCCGUGGUAUGAUUCAGACCCUGUUUU
rnacentral:ribozyme from 1 species